UUAUAAUUACACCUUAUGUAAGAAUCCUGGGUUUUGAUUGGUUGAUAGCCAGUGUAUUUUUCACCAAUUCACUGUUAUCAAACGAAUAUCGUUCAUUUUUUAACUCUGCCGGGGUAUUUGCCAAAAGGAUUUGCCUUUUUUACCCUCUCUGCCGUGGUAUUUGCCAAAAAAUACUCUAUCCGACUGGACGCUUGUAACGUCACGAUCAUCAAUGCGUUUUAGAACAUUAAC
rnacentral:lncRNA from 1 species